UGGACAUUUACUUUUAUUCAGUUUCUUCUUAAGGUGAAGAAAACUCUUUGUAAGUGUCCUAGAGAAAUAUAGUAGCUUUCUGUUCACCCUUUGCAAGUAAAAAGGGGUGGAUCGUUCCACUACUGACAUGU
ensembl:snoRNA small Cajal body-specific RNA 24